UUAGAUGUCUUUAAUCAAACAUAAAUGUAUUCCGCGUACGAUAUCGCGUAUUAGAUUUCAAUUGUACCUUUCACCACCCCUCCCAACAAACAAAUAUUCCAAAUUUUCAAGACGUUGCAACAACAGUAAUAACAAAGAGAAUAACAUUUGUGUAUUGUUAACUUUUCGUGGGAUGUUUAAUACAGGAAGCCGCUUAUGUAUUCGUCAAGGAGGCAAAUUCGAGAAGUCUGUGUUCGUUAAAACGCGAACGAAUAUUGGCGGUUGGCGACCCACGUUCACUUUCAUCGGAGAUAAUAGCGGAAGGAGUUGAGUGUUCCCGUAAAUUUAACGAAGCGACUAUUUUCUUUUUAUGUCUCUAACAUCAAUGCGGAAAUCAUAAAUGAUGUAAUAAUUUCCGAAGAAAUUACCACACCACGAUGUGACAAGAGAGAGAGAGGAAAA
rnacentral:lncRNA from 1 species